UACGUAGGGUGCGAGCGUUGUCCGGAAUUAUUGGGCGUAAAGAGCUCGUAGGCGGUUCGUCGCGUCGGAUGUGAAAGCCCGGGGCUUAACCCCGGGUCUGCAUUCGAUACGGGCAGACUAGAGUGUGGUAGGGGAGAUCGGAAUUCCUGGUGUAGCGGUGAAAUGCGCAGAUAUCAGGAGGAACACCGGUGGCGAAGGCGGAUCUCUGGGCCAUUACUGACGCUGAGGAGCGAAAGCGUGGGGAGCGAACAGG
rnacentral:rRNA from 1 species